GGCCUCCACGAGUGCGACGUUAUCACAUUGUACUUCGCAGCUUCUAUCUUCAAAUUGAACAGCACCCACUUUACUUCCUCUUCGUUGGUUCAGAAAGUUCAAUGUGUGCAAGAGUGCUAGGGUUUCGGCAUGCAGAGAAGAUGUAGCCUGAAUCUCCUCAGCAAAUCUGUCAAUCAACAAGCCGUUCGAGUCUCGAAUGAUCCCAGCUACCGAGCUUUUUUCUUCUCCCUUCUUCCAAGAGCAAUCUACGUUCAGCUUGAAGCUGGUGCUAUUUGGAGCCAUCCAGAACUCUGCUAUGUCCGACUCGCUGGAUUGCUGCUAUUGUUUCUUCUGGUUCCAUCUGGAGAACGCCCGGACCUGAGUGUGAGCAAGAUCUACAAUUGAUUCGGUGUUGGGAGGUCGAGAUCUGAAGAUGUAGUCAUUUCGGAGCUUCCAUAUCAACCAGAUCGUGCUUGCCACCAUGUCUGCCGAAGGUUAAGGCGUGGGUCAAGCCAUAUUUUCCUUGUCUUUUUGCACAAGAAGAACAAGUGUUCUGCUGUGUCUGGAUGGUGGAGACAGAGUGGACACAGGGGAUCAGGAUGUAGAGACAGUAAAAGUGGGCUGUGAUCUGAUCCAACCGCUGGGAGAGCCACCACUUCUACAUUUGGGAAUGUAAUUCUCCACUCCAUUGUUAGUUCAUGCAUUUCUAAAGUGAUUAAGACUCUAUUUGUUUCAUGAAGAAUAUGAUGUUUCUAGAAAAUAUUUCUAUGAAGUUAUUUUUCAAGAAAAUGUAAUUAAUUUUUAGUGUUCGGCCAAAAACCUGAAAAGAAAUAGAAAAUAUUUUCUUCUAUUCAGUAAAGAAAA